AAACCCGAUGUUUUCUUUUAAAAGAUUACCGUAAAUACAGUUUAGGAGGGAUAAAAUGUUGAAGUUCUCACUAGGUACAAACUUGAUAUUUUACCAUUAAUGUAAAAAAAAUUGCAUGUUUUCCCUAGCUUCAUUCAGUGGUUCGCAGGGCUAUUAAAAGCCUAAAAUACGUUCGUCCCACAACGACAUGGUGAAACGCAUAUUGAAAUUCAACUCAAUUUUCAUCACUUAAAUUCGGCUAUAAAACAAUAUUUAUUACCUAGAGCUCGAGUUUGAUUUGGUCCAGAGGGAGCCGCUCAAAGUCUCCAAUAGAUAAAAUAAUAGACGGUACAAUAUAGCGCAAUAUUCUCGAUUUCCGGCAAACAUUUUACAAAUAAAACAUUUCGAUAUAAAUAAAUUUUGUUUUCAAAUAUUUCACAUUCAAAGUAUAUUGCAUUAAAAUAAACCAAAACUUUAACAAUAAAUCCAACUCAAUUCAGGAACCUCUCGUGGCAUCUUAAUAUAAUAAUAUUAAUACUCGACUAUCUACGUACAAUAUCUGUGGGGGGAUGCAUUUUUCCAUACGUACUUCGCGAUGCUUUCAAAGUCUUAAAUCUCGCACACUCACACACACACAUACGUGUCAAUAAAAACAAAUAUGUAAUAUAAAUAUUUAUUCCGUACAAAUGGAAAUGCCGCGGGAGCAAACGCGUGUAAAACCGACGACGCGACGACAUUUCAAUAUUCGAUCUAGACUGUGAAAAAAAACACUUUAGAUUGGAUGGAUGUUUUUUUUAUUUUUUGAUCCGUAUAAAAUCCCGAAAACCAUUACGGUAAUACACUCGUGGGAUGACGAAAAUAUUAUUCCGAUUCUACUCGAACGAACCGUAUCCGGUGUAAAACUAUAUACACACUAUUAUUGCCGUGCGCGAACAUUGCGCCGAGUGAGUGUUUGGUUGUAAUGGUAUGGUACCAACGCGUGAAUUCGGUAAAAACCACUGACAACGACUGCUGAGAGGAAGGAAAAAUAAACAA